GGAGGGUGCGAGCGUUAUUCGGAAUUAUUGGGCGUAAAGAGCGCGUAGGCGGUUUCUUAAGUCAGAUGUGAAAGCCCGGGGCUUAACCCCGGAAGUGCAUUUGAAACUGAGGGACUUGAGUAUGGGAGAGGGAAGUGGAAUUCCUGGUGUAGCGGUGAAAUGCGUAGAUAUCAGGAGGAACACCGGUGGCGAAGGCGACUUCCUGGACCAAUACUGACGCUGAGGCGCGAAGGCGUGGGGAGCAAACAGGAUUAGAUACCCUGGUAGUCCACGCAGUAAACGGUGAACACUAGGUGUAGCGGGUAUUGACCCCCCUGCUGUGCCGCAGUUAACGCAUUAAGUGUUCCGCCUGGGGAGUACGACCGCAAGGUUA
rnacentral:rRNA from 1 species